CAAGCUCGAAAUAACACCCUUUAAGGGUAAGGGACUUCGCCAAAAAGAAGAGUUCGACCUUGAUCAAAUGACGACGGGUUAAUAUUUCAAAAAGUUCAAAAUAACACCCUUUAAGGCCAAGGGCCAUCGCCAAAAAGAAGUGUUCGACCUUAAUCGAACAACGACGGUUUAAUAUUUCGAAUAGUUCAAAAUAACACCCUUUAAGCCCAAGGGCCUUCACCAAAAAGAAGAGUUCGACCUUGAUCGAAUGACGACGGGUUAAUAUUUUGACAAGUUCAAAAUUACACCAUUUAAGCCCAAGGGCCUUCACCAAAAAGAAGAGUUCGACCUUGAUCGAAUGACGACGGGUUAAUAUUUUGAC
rnacentral:lncRNA from 1 species